rnacentral:lncRNA from 1 species
GCCAGAUAGAAAAUUUUUGCUGUUUCCAUGGCAACGACGGCCAUUUUGAAAAUUCGAAACUCAAAAGUUAAGUCUUCAUAAGCUAGGUAACAUUUGUUAUAAGUUUCAUUAAAUUUAAAGCAUUUUGAAGUUUUUCAUAAUUUUGCUGUUCCCAUGGUAACGGCGGCCAUUUUGAAUAUUCCAAAGUCAAACCCCCGCUGCAAUUUUUGCCCUCC